GACGAACGCUGGCGGCGUGCUUAACACAUGCAAGUCGAACGGGCCCGCCCCUGUUUUUGGGGGUGGGUUGAGUGGCGAACGGGUGAGUAUCACGUGAGUAACCUGCCCCCUGCUCCUGGAUAACUGCUUGAAAGGGCGGCUAAUACGGGGUGUGCCGGCUGGUCCGCAUGGGCCUGGUCGGGAUAGUUUCAUCUUCGGGUGUUUCGGUGGGGGAUGGGCUCGCGGCCUAUCAGCUUGUUGGUGGGGUGAUGGCCCACCAAGGCGGUGACGGGUAGCCGGCCUGAGAGGGUGGGCGGCCAGACUGGGACUGAGACACGGCCCAGAGUCCUGCGGGAGGCAGCAGUGGGGGGUAGUGCACAAUGGGCGGAAGCCUGAUGCAGCGACGUCGCGUGAGGGAUGGAGGCCUUCGGGUUGUGAACCUCUUUCUCCGGUGGUGAAGGCCCUGUCCGUUGCGGCGGGGUUGACGGUAGCCGGGUAUGAAGCGCCGGCUAACUACGUG
rnacentral:rRNA from 1 species